rnacentral:rRNA from 1 species
AAUUUUGGACAAUGGGGGCAACCCUGAUCCAGCCAUCCCGCGUGUGCGAUGAAGGCCUUCGGGUUGUAAAGCACUUUUGGCAGGGAAGAAAAGGCUCUGGCUAAUACCUGGAGCUGCUGACGGUACCUGAAGAAUAAGCACCGGCUAACUUCGUCCCAGCAGCCGCGGUAAUACGUAGGGUGCAAGAGUUAAUCGGAAUUACUGGGCGUAAAGCGUGCGCAGGCGGUUCGGCAAGUAGGAUGUGAAAUCCCAGGGCUUAACCUUGGAACGGCAGUCUUACCUGCCGGGCUAGAGUAUGUCCGAGGGGGGUAGAAUUCCGCGUGUAGCAGUGAAAUGCGUAGGGAUGCGGAGGAAUACCGAUGGCGAAGGCAGCCCCCUGGGAUAAUACUGACGCUCAUGCACGAAAGCGUGGGGAGCAAAC